UACGGAGGAUGCGAGCGUUAUCCGGAUUUAUUGGGUUUAAAGGGUGCGUAGGCGGACUGUCAAGUCAGCGGUAAAAUACGGGGGCUCAACCUCCGCCCGCCGUUGAAACUGACGGUCUUGAGUGGGCGAGAAGUAUGCGGAAUGCGUGGUGUAGCGGUGAAAUGCAUAGAUAUCACGCAGAACUCCGAUUGCGAAGGCAGCAUACCGGCGCCCAACUGACGCUGAAGCUCGAAAGCGUGGGUAUCGAACAGG
rnacentral:rRNA from 1 species